UGUCUAAGAUGAUAGAAUUUUAAGCUGAUUUUCUUGUUUUUUAAUUCUUAAAUUUUAUGGAACGAGUGGCGAUUCCAAAUUUUUGGCUGUGCGACCAGGGUCUUUUUCUUACAGGUCGGUGUGAGAUGUGGGCGAUAUCCUGAAGCUGACACCCCUGGGCACUGUAUCGCUCGCGUAGAGAGCUUUCAGUUCGCUGCCAAACAGAUGGGUCGCGAAACCAAAGCUACACGUGUGCUUGUAGAAUACGGCUACCAGAUCGUCGGGAACCACGUCCUUAUUGAAAAUCGGAAGCAUCGUAAGUAACUCUGCCAGCGAAAUGCUGGAUCCCAAAUGACCUGCAAUCUACGGUCCUAGGUUCGAACAACCGUGGAUUCUGUUUGUGCUGAACCUUUACUUUCGCCACGUAGCUCUCAGCAGUACCACGAAUCGAGC
rnacentral:misc_RNA from 1 species